UGGGGUAUAGCUCAGUGGUAGAGCUCAUGCUCAACGUGCAUGAGGUCCUGGGUUCAAUCCUCAGUACCUCCU
rnacentral:tRNA from 1 species